CGGGAAGGGGAAAGAUGGUGGGCCGCGGAACAUGUGCGUCCCUCGUGCCAUAUGUCUGCUGACCAUCACCUUUAG
rnacentral:pre_miRNA from 1 species